UUGAAUGGGCUGUCUACCCUUGC
rnacentral:piRNA from 1 species